GAGAAGUUCUGGCCGUCCUGAGAUUUAAAUAAUUCUCUUUUGUCUUCUUCUAGUACUUUUAUCAGUCCAUUGAAGUCUUUCAUCCAUCUGGAGAUUUUUUUUUUCUGUAAAAUGUGAGGGAGGGAUUCCGUUUUUUCCCAUACACCAUUAAUUGUAUAAUCUAUCUUCUCCUUUCACUGGACAUUUUUCCUUUAUAAUAUAGUAAAUGUCCUCAUGUGUUUGGGAUCCUCCAAAUGUGUGUAUGAUCUGUGUAUGAAUGUAGGUGGAUCACUUUAAAAAUUCUUGUAAUUUAACACAUUUUACCAACUGAUAGAGCUAGUCACUCAACUAAUCUUUUUGGUGAGAACUUUUGAAUCAGCAUAUCUGGUUUCUCAAAACAUCCAGUUGAUGUCUUUUAUGAGGAUAAUUAACAUCUUGAUGUUGUCUAGCUUUCCUUUUCUAAAACAUGGC
rnacentral:lncRNA from 10 species